rnacentral:rRNA from 1 species
AUGCCGGAAUCGAGCUCGGAUCCGGGCAACGGCAACGGCAAGAGGAGCCUCCCUUCCUGGAUGGGCUCCGGCUCCGGCGGCGGCGGCGGCGGCGGGGGAAGUCCGGGCAAGAAGAAGCACGCGGAGGCGGCCCGCGAGAGGGCGGCUCCAACAGGGCCGGAUUUCUCCAAACUCUUGGACGGGGUGACCUUUGUGCUGUCAGGGUUCGUCAACCCUGAGAGGGGCAGGCUGCGCUCCCAGGCGCUGGAUAUGGGGGCGGUGUACCGGCCCGAUUGGUCCGAUGAUUGCACGCUUCUUGUCUGCGCGUUUGCCAACACCCCCAAGUUCCGGCAGGUGCAGUCGGAGAACGGGACCAUCGUCGCCAAGGAAUGGAUCUCAGAAUCUCACAGCCAACGAAAACUCGUUGACAUCGAGCCUUAUCUUAUGCAUGCUGGAAAUCCAUGGCGCGAAAAUAAAGAGCCAGCUGAAACCAGUCAAGGUGAUCAGAAGAAGCCACGUAAAGAGCAUGAAAAGCAACUUGAGAAGACUCAUGCUAAGACACCGCCCUCUGCUGCCAAUAAGGCAGGACAUUCAGGUGCUAUAAAUAAACAAUUUUCGCCUUCGAAAAUUAAACAAUGGGCAAUGGAUGAUUUUGCGAAGACAAUAUCAUGGUUGGAGAGCCAAGAAGAGAAGCCAGAGCCAAACGAAUUGAAGGCAAUAGCUGCUGAAGGGGUUAUCACUUGUCUGCAGGAUGCCAUCGAAUCCCUCGAGCAAGGCAAUGAUAUCAGUGGGGUGGCAGAGCAGUGGAGCUUUGUCCCCCACGUUGUGGACGAGCUAGUGCGGCUUGACGGAGAGGGAUCGUCGCUGUCUAAAGAACAACUCGCCCAACUGGCAACCAAAUGCAAGAAAAUCUACCAGGCUGAGUUCGCCCAGAUGGACAGUGGUGGCAAGAAGGGCAAGGAGCGUCCUGGGAAGACCGGAGCGGACGAUGCUCAGUACGACAGUGAUGAUACCAUCGAGAUGACGGAAGAAGAGAUUGAUCUCGCUUGCAGACAGUUCUCGGGGAUUAGUAGCUAG